CUACACGGGUUUCUAAUCCUGUUCGCUCCCCACGCUUUCGCUCCUCAGCGUCAGUAUCGGCCCAGAGAUCCGCCUUCGCCACCGGUGUUCCUCCUGAUAUCUGCGCAUUUCACCGCUACACCAGGAAUUCCGAUCUCCCCUGCCGAACUCUAGCCUGCCCGUAUCGAAUGCAGACCCGGGGUUAAGCCCCGGGCUUUCACAUCCGACGCAACAGGCCGCCUACGAGCUCUUUACGCCCAAUAAUUCCGGACAAUGCUUGCGCCCUACGUAUUACCGCGGCUGCUGGCAC
rnacentral:rRNA from 1 species